CGCAGCCCUUUAAACAAUCUCCAUUGCCCGCCCUCGGUGGCAACGCGUGUGCGAAGGACGUCACUGCCCUCUGACCCCUGACCCCCCGUUCAGCGCGUGCGAGUGGUGCGCGGGGUUGUGUGAGCGGAGACGUCGCAUUUGAGUGGCUGAGAAGCGACGGAUUGAUUCCAGGCAGGCGUGUGCCAGCCCCGAGCUAUGCCCCGCAAACAGGACCCGCGGACCUGAGGGGCUGCGGUGCGAGGAGAGGAGCCGGAGAGCGGCAGCCCUCCUGAGGAUGACGUCCUGGUUGGAUGCGAGUGACCCAUCGUACUCCUCCCAAUCAGCCCCGGAGGCCGGCACCAGGUGGAGCGCGACCACGAGGGCCAGAACCGCCAGCGCCCCCUGGAAGUUCCUGCCGUGAGACGUUUUUUUUGGCACUUAUUAUUUUUUUAAUGCCACGAACGCCGGUGAAGCCACGUGAAUGUUUCAUCAUCAUCGAUCAUCAUCAUCAUCGCCGAUCACCAUCACCAUCGUCGAUCAUCAUCAUCAUCAUCGUCAAUCAUCAUCAUCAUCAUCAUCGAUCAUCUUCAUUUCAGCAGCAGCAUCGUUACCAGCCACGAUCCAGCCUCCGCUGGGUGAAGGCUUCGCGCCAAACCGCUGCCGCCACCUCUCGCUAUCCUGCAGAUGCCACAGCUCAGCAAAGGCGCCUCCCGAUCAGCGUGGUCGGCUACGCGCGGCGUGAAGGAAGUCCAACAUCUCCACAUGCGUACACUUCGUCGGAUGCGCGUGCAGUGUUUUGUUAUUUUUUUGCGCAUCAACCGGCAGCAGCAGCGCCAAAUCAUUUGUUCGAUCGAACAUCGUCGACGCGCACACUCGUGUUCAUCUCUUUGCCUCGACUGCCGUGCCGGGACAACAAGCCGACAGACCACCAUGGGGAACGUUACACCGAGAACCAUCUGUUGGUCGGCAAAGGUGCUGAUGGAUGCCUUCACAUUCCCAACGCUGGAAAUCUGCCAAGCGACCGACGUGGGCUCAGGUUAACAACGUUUCAUUGUUGCGCUCGUAACGCACCACCACACGGCGUUUGCACCCACUCACAUCAUUGAUCGAAGAGAAAGGACCACUCGGAGGCAAUGAGGAGGAGUCGCGGACAAGUGGGAAGGCAGCAGCCGAGCACUCAGCCGGCACUACCGACAAUUGCAUAAAGAUCUGGGGUCCUCUACAUAGUAAGAUGUUUCAGCCGAUUGAUGAGUGCUUUCAAGUGGUACGGGAAAAAAACAACUCACAGAUGCGAGGGGGCAACACACUAUCCCAUACAGAUGGAAAAGUCGCAGGGGGGGGGGGGGAGGGCGGAGGGGGGGUCCACAUUUUGCCGUAACUGCCUUCUCUCAGGUGAGCAAAGGGUAACAGGCUCCUCCUUGAUGCAGACACGGAAGGGGGUUCAUGACACGUAUAGCGAUCCACCAACCCUCGCUGCUGCGCCCCCACAGUGCUGGUUCACGGACCACCACUGCCCGUGUUGAUUAUGAUGUCAAUACAGGGACCCACAUUUGGGAGUUGCUUGCGUCCCUACGUUCCAACAAGAACCCUGAGGUUGUGUGGACUUGGGUCUCCUCCUCCUCGGCAUCCCCGAAAUGAAGCCCAAGUCCAUGGGCAGGCAUCUGGGCCUUUGCUGUGGAACUCUAUGGGCCUUCCCGUCUGUGGCACCCACACUGUGGAACUCUCUGGGCCUUGACUCCCGUGGCACCUGCACUGUGGAACUCUCUGGGCCUUCACACCCGUGGCACCCGCACUGUGGAA